UCCAGCUGUGAGCUCAUCCACUCCUUUAAAAACCAUCUCACGUACUAAUUCUGUCUAUUCCUUCUUAAAAGACUCACUGCCUGAUGGUGGCAACGGUCUGACGGAAUCUACUGACUUACCGUGUGUGAACCAUUGUUUUAAUCAUGAAACAAUUUGAGAUAACUUCAUCACAAGAUGUAACCAACAAAACCUUCAACAAUAGAAGCUGUGUUAUCCUUCCAGAUGGGCUACUUGGAGAGCUAAACUACAACAUAUUGCUUCUCCACUUCCAUGGGUAGGAGACACCAGGCUUCACGGCACCAUUACAACAUUAUCUGUCAAGUUCAAAUAGCAAACAUUGUCUUCAGAACAGUGAAACAUCCAUUUGGACUUACCUUCAGAUCCAGAAACGUUUUCAAAGUUUGAAGAAGUAAUAGGAAAAAGCAACAAGCGAAGUAGUCAUUUCAUUAAAGGAUCUUCUCUGAUAUCUCAGGCACACUUACUCCAAUUAGGGACUAUACUCAGUUAUUUAGUCUCCCAAGAGGAGCAUCUGAGUACAUAUUCCCUUAAAUCUAACAAUAACUAAAUAAAGCUCUGGGUCUAGGACAUACAUUUAUCCUUUGAUCUUCACCAGAUAGCCCUAGCAACUAGCUGCCCUUCAUAUGCCCACAUCUGUAAGAACUAUGUUAGGGUUGUAACUAUGCCAGGAAAAAUCAUCACAUCUAAACUUUGCCUUGGUGUGGACUUUAUGGAAGCUCAAACUUGAACAGGACAGAUAAUGAGUUGGGGGAUUGUUUACAUUGUUAUGAGUUUCUGCUGUGAAUGGUGUGACAAUGGGCUGCCAAAGCUCAGUGUGGAUCAUGGUUAGGAAAGUAUGUGUAACUUUCCUGGGAAAAUUUUCAACACCAUUCCUAACUGAUACACUAGGUUUACUAUGGUAAUGUCACAAUAUUAUAUCUCAAUAAAUUUUGAAAUGAUGUAUUAUAA